rnacentral:lncRNA from 1 species
GAAAUCAUAUCCACUACAUCCAUCUACUGUGAACAUGGUUUUGGUUGUGUUAGAAACAUGGAGUGAAAUCAAGGCUGGACGACGGUAUUAAUGUAGAUGCUAUAUUUGCUAGAACAUGUUUGGAUUUUAACCGCGUGUUUUGUGUCAUACUGUACAUAGAAGCUAAUGUUACUCGCAAACUCUGGAUACCUAUUAAAGUAAUUAUUAUUAUGACUCUUCUUCUUUACCUUUUGUUUUUGACAAACUCUUCUUUUUGAACAAAAUGACAAACUCUUCUUCUUUACUUAGUCGAUGGAAACUCCGUCCACAAGUUACCAAUUGCAUUUUCUUUUUACACGUUAUUCUUAUUUNNNNNNNNNNNNNNNNNNNNNNNNNNNNCCUGAGUGAUAAAGACAAAUUGGAGUUGAGAUUAAAUGAAGGGAAAAUUACACUCAUUUACAGAUUUAUGUUAGUAUAACAUACCCUUUAUUUUCUGAUGCAUCACAAACCUCCCUUAUUUGUUUGAUGAAUGACUUAUAAGCACCUAUUUGCUAAACGUCUGUUUAUUCGGUCUCAUUCUAUUGUGUAUUAAGCAGCUAUCUCUCGACAAAUUGGCUCGAAGGAAACGCUAGGUAGCUGUAUAUCCUUUUAUGGCUUGAAGCAGUUGGCAUAGUGCGCCAGAAUUAUAGCAAGAAACUGUAUUACUCAACAGAGCAUUGAAACAUAGAAAAAUACUGUAUUACUCAACAGAAUUAUACAUAAGUUUACGAUAUGACUCUUUUAUGAUGGUUGGAGAAACCAACAACAAAUGUCAAAACAUUACCUCAUUGAAUUGAAUAUGAUCACUCAGCCGUUGAACAUUAACCGAUCAUAUCUCAAUCAAACGAUUUUAAUCAUAUUGACUGCAUACAUACAGUCAUGGAAAUAUACAUGUUUGUAAUAUGUUAAAACUAAGCCGAUUAUUGGAUUCAUAGAGGUAUUUUUUAACUUAAAUCACCUAAAUUAAUUACUGUAUCAAAUAAAAAAUAUCAACAAUAAAAUUUCUUUUAUAAUUACAACAAUCAAUCUGAGUUAAAGUUACCUCAAAAAUGUUAUUUCUAAUAUAUAAAACUUUUUUUUUUCUUUCUUGGAGGCCAUUAGUUAGAAAGUGGAUUACAUGCAAUGGGUGUAGUCUGUCUGAAAAUCAAACGGUUCAAAUUUUAAAGAUAAUUUAUUAUUUAAUUAAUUAUAAAAUUUUGAUAUUAAAAUCAAAUCUUAUAAAAUAGCAUAAAAUAAGCUAUAUAAGAUUUGUUAGCGCGGGUGGGGUCGUAAGCAGUGAUUUGUUAGCGAAUUAACGAAACUGAGAUUUGUCUGUGAUUUAUCUAUCUAGGGUUUACGAAUUGGGAUUCCUAUCUUUCUUCCGUGUUGCAGCAGCAGAAUGUCGACGGAAUGCGAUACCUCUUCUUUGUUCGGCGUUAUCCGUCCUCCUCCUCCACCUCCGGAAAACCUUGAAGAAAGAGGGAAGCGCCCAAAAUCGGAACCAGAANNNNNNNN